GACAGAGGAUGCAAGCGUUAUCCGGAAUGAUUGGGCGUAAAGCGUCUGUAGGUGGCUUUUUAAGUCCGCCGUCAAAUCCCAGGGCUCAACCCUGGACAGGCGGUGGAAACUACCAAGCUGGAGUACGGUAGGGGGCAGAGGGAAUUUCCGGUGGAGCGGUGAAAUGCGUAGAGAUCGGGAAAGAACACCAACGGGCGAAAAGCACUCUGCUGGGCCGACACUGACACUGAGAGACGAAAGCUAGGGGAGCGAAUGGGAUUAGAACCUACCGUCGAGACCAAGCCA
rnacentral:rRNA from 1 species